UGGGGAUGAAACCCAGGGCCGUGUACCUGCUAGGUCUUUCUAUGCCCAGGACUGAUCCUGCCUCCUGGAUCCAACUCCUGUGGCUCCCCAGGACCCAGCACUGCUCUGGCUCUGCCUCCUGGUUCUGGGAACAUAGUUAUCUCUGCAGAAGCAGAUGACUUCGCCAGAUCCUUUCUCCUCCCUCCAACCUUCAGCAUCCACCUGUACCCAGCCUUCUAAGAAGCCCCCACCCCCACCCCCCACCAUGACUCUUCUGAAUGUCUGCACCAAGGUGUGGGUCACACACCAGCCUGUCUGCUGUUAGUUCCUGACACCUGCCAGGCUUCCUUUUGGAAGCGUGACCUCCCAGAUGACUUCACUUGUGUGGCCCUAGCUGGUCUGGAACUGUCUGCGUAGACCAGGCUGACCGUAAAUCCACAGAGACCCACCUGCCUCUGCCUACUAAAUGUUGGGGUUAAAGGUGUGCAUCACCACCCGUGAUGGGAAAUUCUUAGUUGCUGGAGUCACCACAUCCUAGAAGGGAACUGACACAAAGUGUGUACUUAGUUACGUGUAGCAGGGAAGUGAACGGCAGCACAAAAAGAGCCAACUAAGCAUCAUAUUG
rnacentral:lncRNA from 1 species